UACACUUGACAUCAUCAGAACUUGUUAGAGAUAACUCGGUGCCUUCGGGAACUGAUAGAC
rnacentral:rRNA from 1 species